rnacentral:lncRNA from 1 species
CGUGCAUAUUGCAAAGGAGAGAGGAGAAAAAGCAUAUACAUACAUAUAUGUAUAAUAUACUACUCACAGUAAAACGCUUCAAAACUAACCUCCAUCCGUCGCACUUAAUGACUCCGGGUUAUCUAGUCACAAAUAUACAAAUUAGAGUUUAUAAAUUUUCUAUUUCUAAUUAACAAUCAUCAAACUAUGUUUUGUUCACCGUCUCAAUUUCUAUUUUCUAGGUCCGUACUUCUACCUCAACUCUGAAUAAUUUCAUGAUAGGGUUAGUAGCUAAUCUUUAAUUUUAUUAAGUUGCAUGGUGGAGUUACUUCAAAAGUAAUGUUUGGCAGAGAUGAGGUAGAAGUACUCACAUAGAAAUAGAAAUUGAGAUAGUUAACAAAAUAAGAAAAUAAAAAAAAAAAAAAAAGUUAAAUUUAGCUCAAGAAUAGACAACUUAGCUUUUCAAGUAUCAGCUUCUAACUGAUGAUCAGUUCUUCAACAUAACAUGUGCCGAGGCAAACCUCAUGUUCUUCGAGCUCCAAUCUUCAAGCACAUACCAUUUUUAACAAAUUAGAGUUUAUAAAUUUUGUAUUUCUAAUUAACAAUCAUCAAACUAUAUUUUUGUUCACUGUCUCAAUCUCUAUUUCCUAGGUUCGUACCUCUACCUCGUCUCUAAAUAAUUUCAUGAUAGGGUUAGUAGCUAAUCUUUAAUUUUAUUAAGUUGCAUGGUGGAGUUACUUCAAAAGUAAUGUUUGGUAGAGAUGAGGUAGAAGUACUGAUAUAGAAAUAGAAAUUGAGACAGUGAACAAAUUAAGAAAAUUAAAAAAGUUAUAUUUAGCUCAAGAAUAAACGACUUAGCUUUUCAAGUAUCAGCUUCUAACCCAUCAUCAGUUCUUCAACUUAACUUGUGCCGAGGCAAACCUUAUGUUCUUCGAGCUCCAAUCUUCAAGCACAAACCAUUUUUAACAAAUUAGAUUUUAUAAAUUUUCUAUUUAUAAUUAACAAUCAUCACACUAUAUUACAAACAAUUCAAUUCAAACAUAAAACAAUUCAAACAAAAAUAUUAAAAAAACCCAACAUGACUUUUGGAGUGACUCCACCAUGCAACUUAAUAAAAUUAAAGAUUAGCUACUAACCCUAUAAUGAAAUUACUUAGAAAUGAGGUAGAGGUACUAACCUUAGAAAUAUAAAUUGAGAUAGUGAACAUAAUAAGAAAAUUGAAAAGCUAUAUUUAGCUAAAGAAUAAAUAACUUAACUUUUCAAGUAUCACCUUCUAACUAAUCAUCAGUUCUUCAACUUAACUUGUGCCGACGCAAACCUUAUGUUCUUCGAGCUCCAACCUUCAAGCGCGUGCCAUUUUUAACAAAUUAGAGUUUAUAAAUUUUCUAUUUCUAAUUAACAG